rnacentral:lncRNA from 1 species
CCUUAUAAUUUUACUUCUUGUUUUAUUGGAUCGUUAUAUAUUUUUAUUGAUUUAAUAGAUUAUUGUAUUACUCUUUCUAAUGGUAGUUGGUUUUUGGUGUGCUGGCUUGGGGUCUGGACAUGGGUAGGUCAAGAUCUUUUGGUUGGAGAUAUUUUUUAUUCUUUUUUGUGGAUUCUCUACUUUGUCAGAAACUUUUUAUCUUUUUUUCGUUUUUGCUAUCAUGAUUUUGUUUCUUCUCUCUUUCUCUCUCUCUCUCUCUUCUAGUUGUAAUAGUUGAGUACUACUUUUCUUUACUAUAUUUUUUCCGUUGAAUUUUUGCCAAAAAAGAUUUUGAUAAGCUCGACCCUUAGUUAGCGACUCUGUACUUUCAAGGGUUUGUUAAGUUCUCUUUUUUUUUCGCUUUUUUCUCCUCUUAUAUAUAAUUUCUAUU